UACGUAGGGGGCAAGCGUUGUCCGGAUUUAUUGGGCGUAAAGAGCGUGUAGGCGGCCAUACAGGUCAGCUGUGAAAACUCGAGGCUCAACCUCGAGACGUCGGUUGAAACCGUAUGGCUAGAGUCCGGAAGAGGAGAGUGGAAUUCCCGGUGUAGCGGUGAAAUGCGCAGAUAUCGGGAAGAACACCCGUGGCGAAGGCGGCUCUCUGGGACGGUACUGACGCUGAGACGCGAAAAGCGUGGGGGAGCCGAACAGGG
rnacentral:rRNA from 1 species